rnacentral:rRNA from 1 species
GGAGGGGUGCAAGCGUUAUUCGGAAUUACUGGGCGUAAAGCGCGCGUAGGGCGGUUUAGUGAGUCUGAUGUGAAAGCCCACGACUUAAUCGUGGAAGUGCAUUGGAUACUGCUAGACUAGAGUAUAGGAGAGGUAAGCGGAAUUCCUGGUGUAGAGGUGAAAUUCGUAGAUAUCAGGAGGAACAACAGAAGCGAAGGCGGCUUACUGGACUAUUACUGACGCUGAGGUGUGAAAGCGUGGGGAGCGAACGGGAUUAGAUACCCCGGUAGUCCACGCCGUAAACGAUGGACACUAGAUGUCGGGAGUUCUUACCCUCUCGGUGUCGAAGCUAACGCGUUAAGUGUCCCGCCUGGGGAGUACGGCCGCAAGGUUA